rnacentral:lncRNA from 1 species
GUAUCAUUCCUUUAUAUCUUCUUGGGGUUUAAAAGAUUCUUCUCUCCUCUCCCCAAUUUUUUUCUUUUUUCUCUUCUUUCUUUCUUUCUUUUUAACCCUUAGGACUCUUACUUUUUAAUUGAAUGCUAGAAAUCUUUCAGGAUGGAAUUGAUGAGGCUCAGGACAUGCUAUCCCCUGAAUGGUACCUUGACAUUUUGGAUAUUUUAAGCUGAAAAAAAAUCUAAAGAAAAGCCAGAAGAAGAAGAUCAUGCUGACCUUCUCCCUGCCUCUUCCCCCCUGAAGUUGGUUAUAAACUCUAUGAAGGAUUUUCUGACCCCUGAAGCAAAUCAUAAGACCCUCAUGUGAAAUGUGCUCUCCCUAUACCUGAAGGAAAGAAAUACCCUUAUCCCCUGUGUUAGUCAGCUUUGCAUUACCGUAACAAAAUACCUGAGAAAAUCAACCUAAAGAGAGGAAAAGUUUAUUUAUUUCAG